rnacentral:rRNA from 1 species
UCUGACCUACGGGACGCAGCAGUGGGGAAUAUUGCACAAUGGGGGAAACCCUGAUGCAGCAACGCCGCGUUAGUGAUGACGGCCUUCGGGUUGUAAAGCUCUGUCUUCAGGGACGAUAAUGACGGUACCUGAGGAGGAAGCCACGGCUAACUACGUGCCAGCAGCCGCGGUAAUACGUAGGUGGCGAACGUUGUCCGGAUUUACUGGGCGUAAAGGGAGCGUAGGCGGACUUUUAAGUGAGAUGUGAAAUACUCGGGCUCAACUUGAGUGCUGCAUUUCAAAC